rnacentral:rRNA from 1 species
GACGAACGCUGGCGGCGUGCCUAAUACAUGCAAGUUGAGCGAUGAAGAUUGGUGCUUGCACCAAUUUGAAGAGCAGCGAACGGGUGAGUAACGCGUGGGGAAUCUGCCUUUGAGCGGGGGACACCAUUUGGAAACGAAUGCUAAUACCGCAUAACAACUUUAAACAUAAGUUUUAAGUUUGAAAGAUGCAAUUGCAUCACUCAAAGAUGAUCCCGCGUUUUAUUAGCUAGUUGGUGAGGUAAAGGCUCACCAAUGCGAUGAUACAUAGCCGACCUGAGAGGGUGGUCGGCCAAAUUGGGAAUGAGACACGGCCCAAACUCCUACGGGAGGCAGCAGUAGGGAAUCUUCGGACAUGGACGAAAGUCUGACCGAGCAACGCCGCGUGAGUGAAGAAGGUUUUCGGAUCGUAAAACUCUGUUGGUAGAGAAGAACGUUGGUGAGAGUGGAAAGCUCAUCAAGUGACGGUAACUACCCAGAAAGGGACGGCUAACUACGUG